GGAACUGUCAUGCGGGCUGACAGCUGGCACACCCUCCUGUCGCCCUCCACCCGCCUGCAGAAAGCCCACUCCCUACAGUCACCUUGACAUUGCUCACCUGCCUGGGCCUCAGCCCAUGACCAAGGAAACUUUUGCCCUCCCUCCCCAGGAGCUCACUUACAGGCCAUCUUCAAAGGUACUGCCUACCUGAACCUGCCUUGUCCCAAAGGACACACUUCAAUCUGGGGAGAGUUUAAAGUUGUAGACAUAUCCAUUUUCAUUUAAGGAAUAUGAAGAUCAGGGAGGCAAAAUAUAGAGAUAUAGAGAGGAAAAACUGAGAGAUGAUCAGAAAUUCAGACGCAUUCGGAAUGAGCACCCUUGACCAUACCAAGAACAAAGACUCUAUAAAAAUGUGAAGUCUUAUUAUUGUUCAUCCAUGUUCUACGUGGGAUCCACCCAAGACAUUGAAAACUGUACAGAACAGGGUGAAAUUGAAUCAGAUCAUUCUGUACUCCUAACAAGGUCCACCCCAUGAGAGACUUGCAGCAGAAUUAAUGACACUGUAUAUUUUCCUCUACUAACAACAACAAGAACAACAACAACAACAAUCUAGGAAAAUCAAAGGCAGCCCGACAUGGAAAAAAACACAAAAUGAAUAUUUGGAUUACAAAUAGUGUGAUGGGAAGAACACACUGCCAAAAGUCCACCUAGUAUGUUGAAAUUACUGUUUCUAGCACAUAUAAGGUAUGAUUUUUUAAUGUUUUAAACAUUCAUUAUUGGCUACUUUAACUAUUUUUCCUUGGUAACUGCAGCAGAAAUUGAAAAAUGAUAGAAAAGCAGAAAAGAAUGGCAUAACUUAUCAGAUAUAUGUAAGUGUGUAAACUUUGGGUUUUAUUGUUUAGCUCAUCUAGUAACUUGGGAAAAUAAUAGCUAUUCCAUAAGAUUGUUGAGAAAAUUAAAUGAGAGAACACAGUUAACAGACUUAGCUGAAUGUGUAGCAUAUAGAGGGCACUCAGGCAUCCCUGGCAUACAGGUAUGAGUCUGCAAUUAACAAGGUAAUGGAAAGAGUGUUGCAGAUCUCUGACCGAAGUAUUUUCUCCUGGGCUUACAGUAUUUAUCAGCUAUCAUAAUACAAAUUUGCUGCCAAUUUGUACUGACUUCUGAAAAAUACUUUAUCCAUUGUCUUCUUACAUCAGAAUCAACUCCCUAAAUUCUUCAGCACUGGCUUUGUAAACUGGUUUCUGGUCUUUGUUUCUGUCAACUUACCUAUAAAAGGAUACAAAAACUGAAGAACAGAGAGGAGCAGAUACCCUGGAAAGCCGAAAGUUUUAUUGACCAAAGACUGAGUCUCGGAAUGUUUUGAUUGUGGAGUUUAUAGAGUUCAGGCUGAAGUUUUAUAAAAAUAACUUGCAGCAGCAUGGAGGACUGAUGAGAAAGUAGACAGAUGCUGGAAGCAGGAAAACUGAACAGCAGGUCACUGGCCAAGGAGAAUCAAAGAGCUAGAUGCUGAGAAUAAUGCAGCCAUAACGUGAAAUCUUUUUGAGACCACUCACUCUGGGAGAAAGCAACUGGCUAUGUCAUGAGGAAAUUGAAACCACCUAUGGAGAAAGGCCCACAUGAAUUCUGUAAGUCUGCUACGGUGACAUUUCUGGUUAGGAGUCAGAGUGGAUGGGACACUGAGCAAUAAGAAUGCAGAGACAUGAUGGCUGAAGCUGGAGCUUUUCCCUGAAGCAACCACCUGUUGGAAACUUCAUGUUGAAGAUGACUGAAUAAUAAGACAGAGGGGUCUGGGUCCCUGGUGGAUAUUCCAGAUCUGGGUGUUCGUGGAGAUAUGAGAAAGCAAUAAACUUCAAUUUUGCUUAAAUAGCUGUUACUUGGGGCAUUCUGUCAUUUAUGGACA
rnacentral:lncRNA from 1 species